UACAUAGGCCCCAAGCGUUACUGAGAAUCACUGGGUUUAAAGGGUGCGUAGGCGGCGCGUUAAGUCCGUUGUGAAAGCCCUGGGCUCAACCCAGGAACUGCUUCGGAUACUGGCGCGCUUGAGGCUAGUAGGGGUCACUGGAACUGACGGUGGAGCGGUGAAAUGCGUAGAUAUCGUCAGGAACGCCAAUGGUGAAGACAGGUGACUGGGCUAGUUCUGACACUGAGGCACGAAAGCGUGGGGAGCGAACGGG
rnacentral:rRNA from 1 species